UACGUAGGGUGCAAGCGUUGUCCGGAAUUAUUGGGCGUAAAGAGCUCGUAGGCGGUCUGUCGCGUCGGCUGUGAAAACCCGGGGCUCAACCCCGGGCCUGCAGUCGAUACGGGCAGACUAGAGUGCGGUAGGGGAGACUGGAAUUCCCGGUGUAGUGGUGAAAUGCGUAGAGAUCGGGAGGAACACCUGUGGCGAAGGCGGCCCCCUGGGCCGGCCCUGACACUGAGACGCGAAGGCGUGGGGAGCGAACGGG
rnacentral:rRNA from 1 species